rnacentral:lncRNA from 1 species
UAGUGACAAAGUGAUGGCCAUCAGCCUAGAGAGAAGGCAGACAAUCAACAGUAAAUAUAAUAACUAGAUAUACAGACAGUGAGGAGGGGAUAAAUGCCAAGAAAAAGAAAGAUGUUAUUUGAAACUGUUCAAUUGUUUCUCCGCCACCAGGUCUCACUUGGGAGGCAAAUCGUCUUCUGAAGGAGAAGAGGACCAGAAUGUUGAAGGCGGCAGGCUACAGGUAUCGCCAGUGGAGAAGAGCAAUGACCAGAGAAAUGAAGAAGCUGAGGGUGCUACAGAGCAUUCCGAAAGGGAAAUUGAAAAUGAUGGGGAAGUCACAGCCCAGGGGGACUAUGGAGGAAGCCAAGGGGAAAUGGAAAUGGAAGAGGAAUUUGAAUUAGAAGAGGAAUUAGAAUCUGAUUUGGAAGCCACGUCCCCUGAAGGGGAAGUCAGUUCUCCAGAUCUGGCUUCCUCAGACAUCAGUCCUGGGGACGGGCCCGAAGAAGAAGUUGACCGCACACACCCGUAUGAAGGAACAAGGAGGGAGAUGGGUCUUGAGGACAGAGAGGCCCCUUACCCAUCCAAAUCCAGCGGAAUGGGGUUUAUCGCCACAAUGCGCUCCCAGCAAGUAUUAGGCCUAUCUGAGCAAAUGAGCCAGGAAGCGCUCCGGCAGAAGGUCUUUCCUCUGGAGCCUGGGCAUCACCUCAGACAGAGCCCCGAGAGCAGCGACACAUCCCUGGGUCUUGACGAGCUGCCUCCGAGCACAGAGGUGCCCUUCACCCCGGAGUCAGGUACUACAGGACAAGCCACUUCCCGUCCCCUUCUGUGCGAGGGCUCCCACUCCUUCGCCCCCUGUUACCUCAUUUCCUGUUGGGCUAUGAGUCUAAAGAUAAAAAUGUCAUUA